rnacentral:rRNA from 1 species
GAUUAUGGCUCAGAUUGAACGCUGGCGGCGUGCUUAACACAUGCAAGUCGCGCGUGAAAGGACUUCGGUCCGAGUAAAGCGGCGCACGGGUGAGUAACGCGUGGAUGAUCUACCCAUGAGUUAGGAAUAACGGCUGGAAACGGUCGCUAAUACCAAAUACGCUCCGAUUUCAACUUCGGGGGAAAGGUGGCCUCUGCUUGCAAGCUACUGCUCAUGGAUGAGUCCGCGUCCCAUUAGCUAGUUGGUGGGGUAACGGCCCACCAAGGCGACGAUGGGUAGCCGGUCUGAGAGGAUGACCGGCCACACUGGGACUGGAACACGGCCCAGACUCCUACGGGAGGCAGCAGUGGGGAAUAUUGCGCAAUGGGCGAAAGCCUGACGCAGCGACGCCGCGUGAGGGAUGAAGGUCCUCGGAUCGUAAACCUCUGUCAGGAGGGAAGAACCGCCACGGUGCUAAUCAGCCGUGGUCUGACGGUACCUCCAAAGGAAGCACCGGCUAACUCCGUGCCAGCAGCGGC